rnacentral:lncRNA from 1 species
GAAGAAAUAACAUAAAAAAUUUGGUGCACACUGAAUAACGCGCGUAGCGGGUUAUUUAACAGUGUGCACCACAUUUUUUUAUGUUAUUUCGACUAGACUGAAAAAAUAUUACAGUCAUUUCUUAUAAUUUAAUUCUAAAUUCCAUUUUAAACCGUAGAAAUCCAUGAAAAAACGUUGAUGACGUCACGGUCACAUGUCUAAAUUAUGUCUAUGGGCUCUUAACAAAAUAACGUCAGCCUAUCAGAAGACGCGUUACAUCCAACUUUAAAUUAUUAGAAAAUGCUUUACAGUCUUUAAUUUAGAUUAUUUAAAUAUCUUGUUUGAUUAAAAAAAAACAGCUCUGACAUUUUCUUUUUUUCUCACAGGAGAAAUCGCAAUUUUAAAUUUACGGUAUAAUAGUAGUCGUAGUAGCCAAAGAUAUUCAUUAGAGAUGUUGUCUAGAUCUGAUCGAUGGGGAUAUAUCUGACAUUUCAGAUUGAUGGUUAGAAGUACAUCAGUGUGUCUAGAAAAGUUAUUUGAUACAUAAUUUAAUGUUAAAGAGUUUAAAAUUUACUAUCGGCCAUGUGUAUAGAGAUAACUGGGUCAUCUUCAGUACACAUCUGCGAGCAAAGGAAAAAAAAUAAAUAAAAAAAAAUGUUGAAAUUUGAAAAAAAUAACCUAUCUGUAAGCGAAGUAUCUUAGAAAGGCACAUUUUGAUUCGCAGUAUCAAACGCACCUAAAAAUAUUUCGCGUUCAGGUUCAUCAUUUAAUGGAAAAACCAUCACCGAGUUUUGCACGUUCAUUUUAAUACCUUAAAUUUCUUUUUAAAUUAGACACGAUUAAAUAUUUCAAGCAGAAUUUCAAUUUCAGAGGUUAUCAAAUAAAAAUCAAAGUUCAUUUCUUGUUGACAAGUUGAUUGACAUAUUGAUGGACAUAUUUCACACGUGCAGGUGUAAAAAAAAAUACUGUGAAAUAAAAAACGCAAUCUUACCACUCGUAAAAGAAAUAGUGGCAAUAAAAGACAACCAUUAUGGUGUUAAACUUAUAACUACGUGAAGUUAAAUGCACUUGGUCUUGAUAAAGUCUCCAAUGCGCAAUUUAAUCAGAUUUUGUAUUUUAGCACGCGGAAAUUACAUGCUAACAUCGGUGGUUUUUGGCGUACCCUAAAAUAGCAAACAAUUUGUCAAAUUUGUCCUUUCCGGUUCAAACAUGUGUACAUGUACAACACAACAAUUGUUGUGAAUUAUUAAAGCAAUGGUAAUAGGAAAAGACAGCUUAAACAGCCAUUCAAUCAUCGUUGUGUGAGAACGGUGUGUUUGAUUAGUACUACAUAGUACAAUUUAGACAUCUGUGGUUUGCUUAAUUGAUAAUGAUAAAUCACCUACACAUUAAUUUUACGCUAAGGAUCGUCCCGUGGUUAGGUGUGAUAAUGAAGGCAUGCUUCUAUUUCACCUUGUAAACAACUGUAGGUUAUUUAAUACUUCAGCUGAAGAUUAUGAACUUCAGCCGUAGAAAAACCAAGGAAGCUAAACCAAUAAGGGGAUUGCCUUUGUACUUGAUGUACAGGGGUUUAAAAACACAAUUGAAGCGAUUUGACCGUUGAUAUAUCUAGAUGUAGGAGUCGCCAUUCGUUUACCGGAUAUGUUAUAACGCAUGUCCAUGAAUGUUGUCAGUUCUUGAAGUCGACCUUAAUAAAACAUUUGUUGUAUUGCUUUAUAUGCGUAAAUGGCAAAUAGCAGACCCACUCGAAGCUUGUUCGUGAUCAGCUUGUGGUCAUGCAGUGGGC